rnacentral:lncRNA from 1 species
UUCAAACUCAAUCACAUUCUUCAACAAUUCAUUACCCUAGCUCGUCAGUGUUCUUCAGCUACUCUAAGAGAUCAUCCUGAGAAUGGCUCUGCUUUCCAAGACCUCUGGAUUGUGGUGCACGGUGCACAAAGAAGGUGACGAUGAUGAUGCAUAUACUUAUGUCCCGUGUGUUCGAGGUGGUGGUGAUGACGAUGACGGAGAUUAUGAUUAUGCUCCUGCUGCGUCUGAGGGUGACGACGAUGAUGAUGGUGGUUAUGAUUAUGCUCCUGCUGCUUGAGUAACAAGGGAGACUAGUAUCUAACAAUUCAUAUAGCUAAUAGCUGUCUGCAUAAGGCAAUGGUGCAUGUACCAAACUAAUUUCCUAAGUCAAGAUUAGAGACAUAAGUAAUAUUUUAGUUCCAUAUCAUGAUUUUGUUGACUCAUGUACGUGUAUCCGGUUAAUGUUGAAAAUAACCUAAUCUAAGUUGUUUAGACGUAGGAAACAUUUGCAGGAGAAAAAUUAAAACUUCUGAUAUAUAUAAACUGAUUACAUGCAACGUUUUAAAUACUAAUGCACAUCAACAGUGGCUACAAACUAGGAAGUUGAAGACUCAUAACUGACUCCACUACUCCAUUAUCCUCUCACACUCCUAUUAAUCUGCUAACGUCUAAAUGACCAAAUCAAAUACUACUGACUAGUGCUUCACAGAUAUCUCCACGUACAGCACUUGACACAAGCAAACUGAAUAUAAAUAAAGCAUGCAAAUAAAACAUCAAAUUUUAGAUUAAUAUUCCAACAAUCAUCCUCUUAAUCUAAAAUUUAUUUGAACAUAAUUUUUGAAGCACUUCUCUUCAAUUUUGUGAUGCACUUCUCACCACCAUCUCUUCAUUUUGUGAUGCACUUCUCACCACUAUCAAGUUUGAUGCACUUCUCAUCAAAAACAAUUUUGGAGUACUUCUCUCCAGGGUGCACUUCUCACCCACAAUUCUAAAUUAAAAAUUUCUUCCAUGACCACUUGUGCCAUGAUUUUCUUCUCACAGACUUCUCCGGCAUCGACUUGUCUUUCUCGACAGCCCUAUACUACACAUGCAUCCCAUACUACACGUGUAGCUUUGCCACCAUCCUUCUGCAAUGCCUACUUAAAACUACAUCUUCUCCGCAACACAACGCCUCUGCAGCACAACGUCCGGCACCCGUGACGCCAACACCCAGCAACAACCCAAGGAUCGGAGGAAAGGCUGUUAAGCCCUGAUACUCUCUCCCCUCUUGGCUCUGAGAUACCAUGUUGAAAAUAACCUAAUCUACAUAAUGUAUAUAAGUUGUUUAGACGUAGGAAACAUUUGCGGAGAGAAAAACUAAAACUUCUGAUAUAUAUAAACUGAUUACAUGCAACGUUUUAAAUACUAAUGCACAUCAACAGUGGCUACAAACUAGGAAGUUGAAGACUCAUAACUGACUCCACUACUCCAUUAUCCUCUCACACUCCUAUUAAUCUGCUAACGUCUAAAUGACCAAAUCAAAUACUACUGACUAGUGCUUCACAGAUAUCUCCACGUACAGCACUUGACACAAGCAAACUGAAUAUAAAUAAAGCAUGCAAAUAAAACAUCAAAUUUUAGAUUAAUAUUCCAACAGUUAAAUUAUUACAAUGAUAUCUAGAUGGCUGCAGAUUGAUUUUUCUAUUAUUUUUGUCGUUUUGUUGUCGCCCUUCUAGUAUGCAACUUUAUGUGCAGGUAGAAAUGCUAUAUAUACUCCUAUUAGAGCAUCUUCAAGGCUAACAGUGAAAACUGUUAGCUAAAACAUGAUUAGUUAUAAUUUUACUGAACUUGUAGCGAUUUUUCUCCGACGGUGUUAGCUAUAAUCAUUAGCUAUAUUCAAAUAUUAUAUAUUUUUUAAUUUUGAAAAUAUCAUGAAAAUAAAAUUGCUCGAUAUGGGUUAAUGAAAAUUAAAUGUUAUAUUUAAUAAAAAAUUUAUUUAAUAAUAAUAUUAUAAUAUUUUUAUAUCUAUUUCAAUAUUUUAAAGUAAACAUUAUAAAAUAAAAAAAAAAUAACUAUUUUACCAAAAGCAUGUCUUAUUUAAUCAUAUCUUUUUAUAAAUAUAGUUAAAUUAAUAUUUUAACACUUAAUAAUAUUACAUGUGACUUUAUAAAUUAAAAAUAUAAAUAAUAUAUUUAUAUAUAAUAAUAUUGGUUGUUAGAAUUUUAUAAGUUUAGUUAACGAUAAAAUAAUAUUUUACACUUAAUAAAAUUAAAUAAUAUUAUAAAUUGUAAAUAAUACAUCUAUACAUAUAAUAAUAUGAACAUAUAUAAAUAUUUUGUAUAUUAUAAUAUUAUGUAUUUAAAAUAUACAUUCAAUAUUUUAAGUUAAAUAUUUAAAAAUAAUUCAAAUUAAUAUGUUAUAUAUUACAAUAAAAGAUAUUAAGUUUUGGACCAAUAUUAGGGUUACACCUGGAAUAUAUCAAGCGGGAGAUGACGUGGGCUUUCUAGCAAAAUCAUCUGCAAAUCUAGCGCACUUGUUUAUCGGAAGCUAAAUUUAUAGCUAACAGACCACUCGGAGUGGUCUAAAAUUUAGAUGUUAGGUAUAAUAUAUAUCCACGUAGACUUUAUACCUAAGAGGUGUUUGGGGUUGGAGAUGCUCUUAUAAGUUAAUAGAUUCCUGCACAAACAAUAAACACAGGCAACAAGUAUCUGGUUUAACCCUACACCUUUUGAUAUUCAUAUGAAAAAACCGAGCGAGGAUGCUAGCCGGAUCAAUUGAGAUUUGAGACUAUUUUAUAUAGAUCUAUAUGUUUCUUUUAACGGACUCUAAAAUUGAGUUGUUCAGCUGAGACUAUUGGCUAUAGAUCUAUAUGUUUCUUUUAACGGACUCUGAAAUUGAGUCGUUAAUUCGGCCAUAUGUGACCAGUCACUGGUGUAAGCAAACAAAUGAAGCUUUUCAUUUAGAAACAACAAUGCCUAUUACAGGGAACGCAGAGAGACGCCAUGAAGAGGGUUCUACACUAUAUAUAUAGUCCUGUGUUAAUCAUGAAUAUAGGUUUCUUGAUAUCAGAUGUAAGCUACCUAAUGUAAUUAUGCAUGAUGACCUAAUGUAAUUAUGCAUGCGUGCGUUCAUCUGCCUCGGAUCUUUUUACAUCUACAGUUCUUCGUGUGCGCGCGCGGAGUAAUACACAGAGUGAGCAGAUCUUUAAUUUGGGGCUUCUGAUCAUUUCUUGGAUGCAUGUUGACAUGUUUGAUAGUAAUAAUAUUUGACUCUUCUAUUAUCAUCAAGCUAAGUUGUAUGACUGCUAAUCUGCAAAUACAGUUUUUUGUAAAUUUUUUUCAACAGAAGAUCUAACCAUAAAUGUCGAAAAUUAAUACGAUUUGUGUGUGAAAGCUAGCUUUGUGUAUUAUAGAAAUCAGUCUAUAGAGGAGAAUGAUACUGCAACUCUGCAUUUUAAUUUUUCACUGGGCAUUGGGCAACCACCAGUGCCUCAAAGAAAAUGAUGCUUCUCCACUCACCACUUGUCACUGCACACACAAACACACUUAAAUGCACAUAAAUCAUCGAAUAUAUACCGAUGUGUCAUUUAAAUUCCAGAGUGGAAUAGCAAUAUUGUGUCACACUAGUGCAAGCAUUGGGGUCUUCCACACCCUCCAUACAUUUUACCUGUGCGAAACCAUGUAUGCAAAACUCUGAACACACGCACACCUUUUUACAUCUAUAUAUAUAUAUAUAUAUAUAUAUCCAGCCUCAUUCCGCUCCAUAAUAUUCAAACUCAAUCAAAUUUAUUAAAACCCUAGUUGUCCACUGUUCUUCCACUUCUUCAAAAAUUCAUAUCGAAAAUGGCUCUGCUUUCCACGGCCUCUGGUUUGAUGUGCAUGCACAAGGAAGGCGAUGAUGCAUUUCCUUAUAUCCCUUGUGUUCAAGGCGGUGGCGAUAAUGAUGAUGGAGAUUAUGAUUAUGCUCCUGCUGCAUCAGAAGGUGAUGACGAUGAUGAUGGCGGCUAUGAUUAUGCUCCUGCGGCAUAAGUAACAAGGGAGAGGAGUGUCUAACAAACUAUGUAGCUACCCAAGUUAAUUCUUAUGUUGAGAUUAGAGACAAGAGUCAUAUUUUUGUUUGACAUAAUCAUGUUGGCUCAUGUUAUGUGUUAGUGUAUUUAAUUGACUUAUUACAAAGCAAUCACCAGAGCUUUUCAUCCUUCAUUUUCAAAAUGACAAUGCUACAAAAUUAUUGGAAAAGGACUCUUAAUAUGUGUGUAGAGUAAUACACAAAGCAAGCAGUUCUUAAUAUGUGGCUUCUGAUUGACUUGUAUGAUUCUUGAAUAAUAUUCAACAAAGUUCCAUGUAUAUUGGAAAUCACUGCGAGUCGACCAAAUAGAUAACAUGACAAGGCUCAAUUGACUUGAACAAAGAAAUUAUUUCCUGCACAAAAAAGGAGAACUUCAAAAAACUACUAGUUUUCAGGUAGGGUAGGUUACAGUAACCAGCAAAAUUUUCACUUCUCCUAUGGGUAAAGUAAGAACAAAUUAAUCACCCCCUGCCUCACUUCAUGCAGUUACUCCAUCUUGAAGACCGUCAGAGCAUCUCCAACAAUAGGUGACAAGAGGGGUGUCAAUUAAUGCCAUGUGGCAUGACGUGACAAAACACUCUUAUAAUUAACACUCUGUUGGAGUGUAGGAAUGUCAUUGGGAUGCUUAGUGAAGUCAGAAGUGGCAAUGUUAAACGCUGCUUGAAAGGUGUCAAUCAUUGGAGAUGCUUUUAGAUUCUCAUCAAUUUUCCGCUACGCUAACCAAUCCUAGCUAACCACAUUCUACAGAGUGAUGUACACAUAAGUUACUGUUAAAAAUGACCAAGUGUACUCCCCCAUAAAGCCAAGGCAUUGUCCAGAUAUAUUCGAGUUUAUAUUGUCACCAGUCACCACAUAAAUACAUAAAAAGAUCAUCCUCACUUUACCCCAUUAUAUACUGCUGGUCUAUGUGUACUCACUUUGACAGCUGGAAUAUGAUGUGGCUUCUCAUGAUGAGUUGGCAUAUGACUUGAUGAUCUUGAACAAUCUUCGCACAGACAACAUAAUAUUUGAACACAAUAUGACUCUAUUCUAAGCAUAAUUAAUUGCAUAUCCUGCAACAUGCAGUAAUUACUAAUCAUUUAUCAAAGAUUCGUGUUCCAUAUAUAUAUAUAAAGUAUUUAAAAUCAUAUAAAAUGCCAGUCAACCAACUAGAUAACAUGAAAAGGCUCAGUUGACACACACAAGGUAUAGAUUUUAAAACCAAAGAAAGAGAAUAUUCAAGCUUUUUGCACCAGAAGCUCUAAUAUUCGUGUUGUCAACAUGUUGUAUUCAAGUUCAUAUUGUCACCACAGAGUAAAAAGAUUCUCCCCACUUUCUGAACUUGGCCCAAUCAUACCCCAGAAGGUGCUAAUUCAAAUACACUAACUUUGGCAGCUGGAAUAUGAUGUGGCUUCACAAUUGCCACUUGUCUGCACACACUUAAAUCCACCCAAACAAUCGAAUAUAUACUGAUCUGUAAUUAAAUUUCCAACGUGGAAUAGCAAUAUUGUGUCACGCAAGUACUCGCAUUGGGUUUUACACGCCCUCCAGGCAUUUACCCACGUCCAUCCUGUGCCCAACCCGAGCAAAGAAACCUGAAACACUCGCAAGCUUUUUACAUCUAUAUAAACAGCAUUCACUUCCAAAAUACUCAAACUUAAUCACAUUCAUUAACAAUUCAUUACCCUAGCUCGUCAGUGUUUUUCGGCUACUCUAAGAGAUCAUACUGAGAAUGGCUCUUUUUUCCGAGACCUCUGGAUUGUGGUGCACGGUGCACAAAGAAGGUGACGAUGAUGAUGCAUAUACCUAUGUCCCGUGUGUUCGAGGUGGUGGUGAUGAUGAUGACGGAGAUUAUGAUUAUGCUCCUGCUGCGUCUGAGGGUGAUGACGAUGAUGAUGAUGGUUAUGAUUAUGCUCCUGCUGCUUGAGUAACAAGGGAGACUAGUAUCUAACAAUUCAUAUAGCUAAUAGCUGUCUGCAUAGUGCAUAAGGCAAUGGUGCAUGUAUUAAACUAAUUUCCUAAGUCAAGAUUAGAGACAUAAGUAAUAUUUUUGUUCCAUAUCAUGAUUUUGUUGACUCAUGUACGUGUAUCCGGUUAAAUUAUUACAAUGAUAUCUAGAUGGCUGCAGAUUGAUUUUUCUAUUGUUUUUGUCGUUUUGUUGUCGCCCUUUUAGUAUGCAACUUAUUAGUUUAUAUGAUCAGGUAGAAAUGCUAUAUAUAAGAGAUUCCUGCACAAACAAUAAAACACAGGCAACAAGUUACAAGUAUCAGGUUUAACGUUACACCUUCUGAUAUUCAUAUGAAAAACCGAGCGAUGAUGCUAGCUGGUUGGAUCAAUUGAGAUUUGAGACUAUUGUCUGUAGAUCUAUACCUUUCUUUUAACGGACUCUGAAAUUGAGUUGUUCGGCCAUAUGUGACCAGUCUCUGCUUUAAGCAAACAAAUGAAGCUUUUCAUUUAGAAACAACAAUGCCUAUUACAGGGAACGCAGAGAGACGCCAUGAAGAGGGUUCUACAUAAUUCGACACACUACACUAUAUAUAGUCCUGUGUUAUGCUAUGAACCUAGGUUUCAGAUGUAAGCUAGCUAAUGUAAAUUAUGCCUGCGUGCGUUCAUCUGCCUCAGAUCGUUUUACAUUUACAGUUCUUCGUGUGUGCGCGUGGAGUAAUACACAGAGCUAGUGAGCAGAUCUUUAAUUUGGGGCUUCUGAUCAUUUCUUGGAUGUUGACAUGUUUGAUAGUAAUAAUAUUUGACUCUUCUAUUAUCAUCAAGCUAAGUUGUAUGACUGCUAAUCUGCAAACUAAUUACUCUCUAAAUAUGUUACAGUAUCUUACGAACACAGUAGAGCCAUCCAGCGGCUUAAAACUGUUUCUGAAUAAGCUGAAAAAUGUUUGUUUGUGUGUUAAGCCAGAAACUAACAUGAAGUUAGAAGUUGGUUUAAGAUAUUUUUUUGGUGGCUUAUUUUUUAUUUUUUAGUAAAAGUUACCCAUAAGUAAGUUACCCAUUUAAUAACCCAUAAGUCAGUAAUAAAUCAAAAUUAUUCAAACAAACAUUUUAAUCUCCCAAUUUAUCACUUUAAGCCAGGUUAAGGCGUAAGUCACAAUUUUAAACUUAGCAAAACGGAAUUUGCAACAUGCACCGAUAAUCAUAUACAAAGAUUUAUGUUAGAAUCAUAUAAAAUGCAAGUCAGCCAAGUAGAUACAUGACAAAGUUCAGUUGAUAGACGCAAGUUAUUUUCAAACCAAAAGGUAGCCAGUUUUUUGCACCAGACCUCACUAGUUUUCAGGCAGUAGUCUAGAGCAAUCACCUAAAUUUCCACUUCUCCGGCAUUUCAUGAAGCAAUUUUAAUUACAAGAACUGAAGUUAUUGAAUUUUCAACUUAAUAAAUGUUAACUGCAGCAGUUUUUACCAAGUCAGUUUCGGCCCAUGACCCCAUGAGGCAACAUUUCAACAUUUAUCAGCGCGACCCGCAGCCGAAAGAGAAAAACGAUACCUCUCCACUAGCCACACAAAAACACACUUAAUUGCACUCAAACAUUCGAAUCUACGCUGAUGUGUCAUUUAAGUUCCAAUGUGGAAUAGCAAUAUUGUGUCACACAACCAUAAACAUGGGGAUUUCCACGCCCUCCAGACAUUCACACACGCUCUUCAUCUGCCAAACCUAAGCAAACAAUGUUCCAACACUCGCAGACACCUUUUUUGAAUCUACAUAUACAGCGUCCAUCAGUUCCAAAAUAUUCAAUCUCAAUCAACUUCAUCGAAGCCUUAGCUUAACAGUGAUCUUGAUCCACUCAUCAUAUCGAAAAUGGCUCAACUUUCCAAGGUCUCUGGUUUGUGGUGCAAGAUGCACAGAGAAGGCGACGAUGAUGAUGCAUAUACUUAUGUCCCAUGUGUACGAGGUGGUGGCGAUGAUGAUGACGGAGAUUAUGAUUAUGCUCCUGCUGCAUCUGAGGGCGACGAUGAUGACGAUGGUGGUUAUGAUUAUGCUCCUGCUGCUUAAGUACUAAGGGAAGAGUAGUAUCUAACAAAUUGUAUCGGCAUGCAAAUUGGAUUUUAUCUAAUUUUUUAACAUAGGUUUAUGUUGACUCAUGUCUUGGGUGGUGUAUCCGAUUAAUAUAUGACUAGCUCUCCAGAGUUUUUCAACAGAGAAAGUGUUUGUAUGGCGUUUUGUUGGACUUUCAGCAUUUUAUAAUGAAAUAUUAUUCAAUCUUUCUAUGUUUUUAUAUGGAGUAUUAUGGUGGUAUAAGUUAACUGAUUCUUUUACGGACUAUAAAAGACAAGCAAUAGUAAUUAAGCAUCUAGUUUGACAUCUACAUCCUCCAACAUUCAUGGACUCUGCGAAUGAGUUGUUAAGCCAAAUGGAAGCAGUGUAAAAUAAUUACGUACCCGAAUUGUACGAUUUAAUUGAGAUAGAAAGUGAACCUAAUGAUGAUAAGUUAGUAGAGUAAUGGCUGUUUUUAAUCUAGUGAUAGCUAGGUGCCCAAGUAGAGUAAUGGCCAUAUGUAAUCAGUCACUAGCUUAAGCAAACAAAUGAAGCUUUUCAUUUCGAAAUAACAAUUCUACUAAAUAGUAAUUACAGCAAAUGCAGAGAGACGCCAUGAAGAGGUUAUACAUAAUUCGACACUUCACUACCUAGCUAUAGUCCUGUGUUAGUGCAGACGGCAGUUAUAACCUAUAAUACAUCUUCUUGAUAUCAGAUGUAAACUAGCUAAUGUAAAUUAUGCGUGCGUUCAUCUGCCUCAGAUCUUUUUACAUCUACAGUUCGUCGUGUGUGCGUGUGGAGUAAUACACAGAGUGAGGCGAUCUUUAUUUGGGCUUCUGAUCAUUUCUUGGAUGCUGAGAUGUUUGACAGUAAUUAUCAUCAAGCUAAGUUGUAUGACUGCAAAUCUGCAAACUAAUUACUCUAUAAAUAUGUUUACAGUAUCUUACUAACAUAGUAGAGCCAUCCUGCAGCGGCUAAUUAAAACAGUUUCUGACUAAGCUAAAAAAAUUUUUGUUUGUGUGUCAAGUCAGAAAAUGAUGUGAAGUUCUCACGAGUUGGUUUGAGAUACUUUUUUGGUGGCUUAUUUUUUAAUUUCUGAUUAAAGUCAACCAUAAGUAAGUUAUUUAUAAGUGACUUUUAUAAUUAUUACUAUAUUUUUAAUAAUCCAUAAGUCAGUAUUAAAUCAAAAUUAUUCAAACAAACAUUUUAAUCUCCAAAUUAUCACAUUAAGUCACAUUAAUGAGUCAUAAUUUUAAACUUAGCAAAAAACGGAGUCUACAACAUGCGCUGAUAAUCAUAUACAAAGAUUUAUGUUAGAAUCAUAUAAAAUGCAAGUCAACCGAGUAGAUACAUGACAAAGUUCAGUUGACAGACACAAGUUAUUUUUAAACCAAAAAGUAGCAAGUUUUCUGCACCAGACCUCACUGGUUUUCAGGCAGUAGUCAGUAAUCACCUGAAUUUCCACUUCUCCGGCAUUUCAUGAAGCAAUUUCAAUUACAAGAACUGAAGUUAUUGCAUUUUCAACUUAAUCAAUGUUAACUGCAGCCGUUUUUACCAAGUCAGUUUGGCCCAUGACCCCAUGAGGCGACAUUUCAACAUUGAUCAGCGCGACCCGCAGCCGAAAGAGAAAAACGAUACCUCUCCACUAGCCACACAAAAACACACUUAAUUGCACUCAGACAUUCGAAUCUACGCUGAUGUGUCAUUUAUAUUCCAAUGUGGAAUAGCAAUAUUGUGUCACACAACCAUUCGCAUGGGGACUUCCACGCCCUACACACGCUCAUCGUCUGCCAAACCUAAGCAAAUAAUGUUUGAGCACUCGCACAGUCUCAGACACCCUUUUCUGCAUCUACAUAUACAGCGUCAAUCAGGGAAAAAAUAUUCAGACUCAAUCAAGUUCAUCGAAGCCUUAGCUUGCCAGCUGUGUUCUUGAUCCACUCCUCUAAGAGAUCAUCAUAUCGAAAAUGGCUCUCCUUUCCCAGGCCUCUGGUUUGUGGUGCAAGAUGCACAGAGAAGGUGACGAUGAUGAUGCAUAUACGAUGAUGAUGCAUAUACUUAUGUCCCGUGUGUACAAGGUCGUGACGGAGAUUAUGAUUAUGCUCCUGCUGCAUCUGAGGGCGACGAUGAUGAUGAUGGUGGUUAUGAUUAUGCUCCUGCUGCAUAAGUACUAAGGAAAGAGUAGUAUCUAACAAAUUGUAUCGGCAUGCAAAAUGUAUUCUAUCUAAUUUUAUAUGUUGGGAUAAGAGAUUAGAGUAAUAUUUUCGCUUAAUACAUAGGUUUAUGUUGACUCAGGUCUUGGGUCGUGAAUCCGAUUAAUAUAUGACUAGCUCUCCGGAGUUUUCGAACAGAGAAAGUGUUUGUAUGGCGUUUUGUUGGACUUUCAGCAUAUUAUAAUGAGAUAUUAUGCAAUCUUUCUAUGUUUUUAUAUGGAGUGUUAUGGUAGUUUAAGUUAACUGAGUCUUUUACGGACUAUAAAAGACAAGCACUAGGUAAUUAAGCCUCUAGUUUGACAUCCACAUCCUCCAACAUUCAUGGACUCUGCGAAUGAGUUGUCAAGCCAAAUGGAACCAGUGUAAAACAAUUACGUGUUGGGGUGCCCAGCAUCUCCCUAGCUCGAACCGUGGUGCUCACUACUACACUAUAAAGUAUAAAGGCAUAGUGGCGCCAUCUCCAAUAAGUAGCUGCUUUUCGUGUAGUGGUUAGCGUUAGGAUCCUAAAAUUUCGUACCCGAAUUGCACAAUUUAAUUGAGAUAGAAAGUGAACCUGAUGAUGAUAAGUUAGUAGAGGCUGUUUUCAGUCUAGUGGUAGCUGGGGGCCUAAUGCAGUUUAAAGAACCUGAAUUUACGUAGUCAUCAAGUGUCCAUGGAGAAAUUUAGUGCAGUGAUCAUAUCACUGCUGAUUUACAUGUGUAUAGCUCAGAGGAUAAUAUCAUAUCAGAGGCUAACUGUUAUGAUUUUAUUUAUUGGAAUGAGCAAUGGAAUUUCAGAAACCCUCUCUGCGGAUUAGGGGACUCUUUGCAAGGCCAAAUGACUACUGAUGGAGAGAUGACGAGUACAAUUCUGUCAAGCAUCGAUGAAACAUAUUUUCCAGUAUCACAAUGAACGAGGCUCUGAAAUCAUGUUUGGAACCGGUCAUCUAAAACAUUGAGGUAGUAAGGAAGACCCCAAAUGACUAUUAUGUUAUAUUUCAAUGGUAUAUAAAUAUCAUGCAGUGAUACUCAUCGUCAAACAAGCACGAGUCAUGACAAGGCAAGUUUAGAAUAUAAACAAAAAAUUAAUCAUUACAAGUACCAAAAAAAACCAAGCUAAUUGCACCAGGCCUCCUGGAAGCUAGUCUUUAGCAAGUUAUUUAGUUAUUGAAACAAAGAAAGCUAAUUGCAGACCAAAUGACUACUAACAGAGAUGACGAGUACAGUUCUGUCAAGCAUCGAUGGGAAAUAUUUUCCAGUAUCGCAAUGAGCGAUUGACAGAACUAAAUUGUUUUCGGUGUCCAACAACUUUUGUCGGUAUAAACUUGCUUUCGUUUCGUGUUUUUAAUAAAUUAUGAGAAUAUUGGUAAGGAGUUGAAUCACAGUCUCCUGUGAAUCCCGGCUUUGAUAUCACAUUAAGAACAGAUCUAUCUAAAAUUUUAAAAUAUCAGAGGAAGGUCCGAACAGAUCUUAUACUACUCCCUCUGUUUUUUAUAUGACGCUUUGAUUUUUUCACACUUUGACCGGGUAGUUAAAAAUAUUAUUUUUAAAAUUUUCUUUUUCUGAAUAAUAAUAUAUAAUCAAAAUUUUUAUUCAAAAAAUAAUAUUUUUAACUACCCGAUCAAAGCACUUAAAAGUGUGCACCAAAAAUCAAAGCGUUGUAUAAAAAAAAACAAAAGGAGUAUAUUCCAAUUAAUAUAUGGGCACAGAUUGAGAACAUUUAAUGUGCCUAGUUUUCUCUAGAUAAUGCACAUUACUCCCUCCGUCUCAAUUUAUAGGUCUAUUUUGGAAUAAACACACAUAUUAAGGAAAAAUGUUGGUUAGAUAGAAUCUUAUCUCAUGUAUCAUUAAUUAGUGCAUUGAUAAGUGAGAAUAUAGUUGAGUUUCAAAAAAAUCACAAUAAAUAUAGAGAUUUAGUGCAUUGAGAAAUGAGAAAAUGUUGAGUUUCAAAAAAAUCACAAUUAAUAUAUAGAUAAAUUUGUAUUGAAAGAAGUGAGGGACAAGUAUUUUGGGACAAUUUUUUUUCCCAAAAUGGACCUAUAAAUUGAGACGGAGGGAGUAUCACACACCAUGUAUCAAUUACUAAAUAGGAAUUCAAAUGUUCACAUUUAUUAAGUAAGUUUUAUAUUUUAUUUACUCUUAUAUUAUAUUAUCAUUAUAUUUUUUUAAUAAUAUUGAAUAAAAAAAUCAUAAAUUUAUUAUUAAAUAUUAAAUUAGCUAGUUUUAGUUAGAAGGCUGAUUUUAAUUAGAAUAUUAGUGUGCAUGUAGGGGGGCCUCGUUAUAAUUUGUUGGAUGAAAUUAAUUAAAAUUUUCAUAUAAAAUUUGAUUAAAAAAUUAUUCUAUAUUAUCUGACUUUUUUAAAAUAAAAUAAUAUUUUGUUAUAAAUAUAAAUUUUGAAGGAUAAAUCAAAAGUAAAUAUAUACUCCCUUUGUUUUAUUUUAUAUGACGUUUUGACUUUUGGCACACACUUUUAAGUGUUUUGACGGGGUAGUCAAAAAUAUUAUUUUUUAAAUUUUAUUUUUCUAGAGUAAUAAUAUAUAAUCAAAAUUUUUAUUUAGAAAAAUAAAAUUUUAAAAAUAAUAUUUUUAACUACCCGGUCAAAGCACUUAAAAGUGUGUGCCGAAAGUCAAAACGGUCAUAUAAAAAAAUUGGAAGGAGUAGUUAGUAUUUAUUAAAAUUUUGACUAAUUUCAUACAAAUACAUUAUACUCAUGCAAACUGAUGGAUAUUUAAUGAUAGCUAUUAUGAUUUAUCCUAGGGCAGUGGUUCCUGCAAGUAUGCGGUGAUACUCAUCGUCAAACAAGUACAAGUCAUGACAAGGCAAGUUUAGAAUAUAAACAAGAUCUUAACAAGUACCAACAAAGACCAAGCUAAUUGCACCAGGCCUCCUGGAAGCUAGUCUUAGCAAGUUAUUUUCUUAUUGAAACGAAGAAAACUAAUAGCAUCAAGCUUCCAGUAACGCUUCCAGUAAGAAGGCUUCCUAGCUUUCUUUUGAUAAUUAUCACCACUUGGACUCCCAUAUCUAAAAGCCAAAGGCAUUUUUCAUAUAUUCGAUUUUCAAUUGUCGCCACAAAGUAGAAAGAUCUUCACUUUCUCAGCUAGGCCCCAACUGCCCCCAUGCAUAUAUAGGCGCAGAUCUGUUUAUACUUUUAACAUCUGUGUUGACAUGUUAUUCCAAAAUGCCUAUUUGGCUUCGCAACAGAUGAUACCAUGUUGUUGCAUCCGCUUAUACACAUCCUGCAGCCGUUGUUCCACACUCUUCUUGUGCUGGACUUGUGGACUCAACUUUAGCAUCUUCUUUCACCAUUAAAUUUCCAACGUGGAAUAGCAAUAUUGUGUCACACAAGUACAUGCAAGGGUGGAUCUAGUAAGAGGCACGUGUGCUCUUUGACUUUUUUUUAAACAUGUUUUGACCGUUCUUAAUUUUACAAAAUUAUAUAAUUGCCCAUACAAAAUUUGAAAAUGUACAGGUGUUUUUCGAAAAUGUGUUUUGUAUCCCAGUAAAGAAAAUAAUCUUAGAUCCUUCACUCAGUACACGCAUUAGGUUUCCACGGCCCUCCAGACAUUUACCCACGUCCGCCCUGUGCCGAACUCGAGGAAAUAAACCUAAAACACUCGCAAGCUUUUCACAUCUAUAUAAACAGCUUCAUUCACUUCCAAAAUAUUCAAACUCAACCACAUUCAUCAUUAACAAUUUCAUACCCUAGCUAGCUUGCUAGUGUUCGUCCACUCCUCAGAGAGAUCGUAUUGAAAAUGGCUCUGGUUUCCAAGGCCUCUGGUCUGCGGUGCAAGAUGCACAAAGAAGGUGAUGAUGAUGAUGCAUAUACUUAUGUCCCCUGUGUUCAUGGUGGUGGUGAUGACGAUGAUGGAGAUUAUGAUUAUGCUCCUGCUGCGUCUGAGGGUGACGAUGAUGACGAUGGUGGUUAUGAUUAUGCUCCUGCUGCUUAAGUAAUAAGGGAAGAGUAGUAGUAGUAUCCGACAAAUUACGUGUCUGCACCUCAUGCAUAUCGGUAUGCAUGUAUCUAAGCUAAUUUUUUAUGUUGCGAAUAGAGAUCUUAUGAGAGAAAUAUUUUUGCCUCAUGUGGAUCCGAUUAAUAUAUGACAAUGAUCUGAAUUUUAUAUGCCAGUAAAAGUGCUUCUAUGUCGUUUUGUUGUGCCUUGUGCAUUUUAUAAUGAGCUAUUAAUAAAUCUUUCUACUGAUUAUUAAAGACAAGCAAUAAGUAAUUAGGUCUCAAACUUGACAUCAACCC